GACAGCGUGCUAGAGUGGUUAAUAGGUGAGACUUGAACUGGAACGGAAGGUGGGCCUAGUCCAGCUUCUGUUAUGCUCAAUAUCUCAUGGUUUCGGCCUCGCAGGUUCGAAUCCUGUCGCUGUCG